rnacentral:rRNA from 1 species
CCUACGGGAGGCAGCAGUGAGGAAUAUUGGUCAAUGGACGGAAGCCUGAACCAGCCAAGUCGCGUGAGGGAAUAAGGCCCUACGGGUCGUAAACCUCUUUUGCCGGGGAGCAAGGGCCGGGACGAGUCCCGGUCCGGAGAGUACCCGGAGAAAAAGCAUCGGCUAACUCCGUGCCAGCAGCCGCGGUAAUACGGAGGAUGCGAGCGUUAUCCGGAUUUAUUGGGUUUAAAGGGUGCGUAGGCGGGCUUUUAAGUCAGCGGUAAAAAUUCAGGGCUCAACCCUGUCGAGCCGUCGGAACUGGCAGG